GAGCCUGAGCUUCACUACUUCAAUGGACGAGGCAGAAUGGAGUCCAUCGGGUGGCUCCUGGCUGCAGCUGGAGUAGAGAGACAGAAGUCUGAUGUUCCAGCAAGUACCAAUGGUGGACAUCGAAGGAAUGACACUGGUGCGGACCAGACCAGAACCAUUCUCAAGUACAUGGCCCCCAAAUACAACCUCUACAGGAGAGACCUAAAAGAGAGAGCCCUGAUAGAUAUGUACACAGAAGGUAUGGCAGAUUUGAAUGAAAUGAUCAUUGUUUUGCCUCUAUGCCCACCUGAUCAAAAAGAUGCCAAGAUUGCCCUGAUCAAAGAGAGAACGACAGAUUGUUAUCUCCCCAUGUUUGAGAAAGUGUUAAAGAGCCAUGGACAAGACUACCUUGUUGGCAACAUGCUGAGCAGGGCUGACAUUCACCUGGUGGAACUUCUCUACUAUGUGGAAGAGCUUGACCCCAGCCUUCUGGCCAACUUCCCUCUGCUGAAGAAUCAGCAAUCUCCCCACCAUGAAGAAGUUUCUGUAGCCUGGCAGCCCGAGGAAGCCUCCCAUUGAUGAGAAAAGUUUAGAACAAGCCAAGAUUUUCAGGAUUAAAUGA